GUAGGUGGCAAGCGUUGUCCGGAAUUAUUGGGCGUAAAGCGCGCGCAGGCGGUUCUUUAAGUCUGAUGUGAAAGCCCACGGCUCAACCGUGGAGGGUCGUUGGAAACUGGAGAACUUGAGUACAGAAGAGGAAAGCGGAAUUCCACGUGUAGCGGUGAAAUGCGUAGAGAUGUGGAGGAACACCAGUGGCGAAGGCGGCUUUCUGGUCUGUAACUGACGCUGAGGCGCGAAAGCGUGGGGAGCAAACAGGAUUAGAUACCCUGGUAGUCCACGCCGUAAACGAUGAGUGCUAAGUGUUAGGGGGUUUCCGCCCCCCUUAGUGCUGCAGCUAACGCAUUAAGCACUCCGCCUGGGAGUACGGCCGCAAGGCUG
rnacentral:rRNA from 1 species